GACGAACGCUGGCGGCGUGCCUAAUACAUGCAAGUCGAACGGAGUGGCGCACGGGUGAGUAAUAUAUAGCUAAUCUGCCCCUUGCUGGAGGACAACAGUUAGAAAUGACUGCUAAUACUCUCAAGCAAGGGAUGAGACUAUAUCGUAUCAGCUAGUCGGUGGGGUAACGGCCUACCGAGGCUAUGACGCGUAACUGGUCUGAGAGGAUGAUCAGUAACAUUGGAACGGAGACACGGUCCGAUAUUCUCCGGGAAGCAGCAGGAGGGAAUAUUGCGCAAUGGGGGAAUCCCUGACACAGCACCGCGUCGUGGAGGAUGACUCUUUUCGAAGCGUAAACUCCUUUUGUUAGGGAAGCGGUACCUAACGAAUAAGCACCGGCUAACUCCGUGCCAGCAGCCGCGGUAAUUC
rnacentral:rRNA from 1 species